rnacentral:rRNA from 1 species
AUACCAGCCCCGCGAGUGGUCGGGACGGUUAUUGGGCCUAAAGCGCCCGUAGCCGGCCCGGUAAGUUCCCGCCGAAAUCCCCGGGCUCAACCCGGGGGCCUGCGGGAAUACUGCCGGGCUAGGGGGCGGGAGAGGCCGGGGGUACUCCCGGGGUAGGGGCGAAAUCCUAUGAUCCCGGGAGGACCACCAGUGGCGAAGGCGCCCGGCUGGAACGCGCCCGACGGUGAGGGGCGAAAGCCGGGGGAGCGAACCGGAUUAGAAACCCUAGUAGUCC